rnacentral:rRNA from 1 species
UGGGGAAUAUUGCACAAUGGGCGAAAGCCUGAUGCAGCAACGCCGCGUGAGUGAUGAAGGCCUUCGGGUUGUAAAGCUCUGUCUUUUGGGACGAUAAUGACGGUACCAAAGGAGGAAGCCACGGCUAACUACGUGCCAGCAGCCGCGGUAAUACGUAGGUGGCAAGCGUUGUCCGGAUUUACUGGGCGUAAAGGAUGCGUAGGCGGAUUUUUAAGUGAGAUGUGAAAACCCUAAGCUUAACUUGGGGACUGCAUUUCAUACUGGAAAUCUAGAGUGCGGGAGAGGAGAAUGGAAUUCCUAGUGUAGCGGUGAAAUGCGUAGAGAUUAGGAAGAACACCAGUGGCGAAGGCGAUUCUCUGGACCGUAACUGACGCUGAGGCAUGAAAGCGUGGGUAGCAAACAGGAUUAGAUACCCUGGUAGUCCACGCCGUAAACGAUGAGUACUAGGUGUAGGAGGUAUCGACCCCCUUCUGUGCCGCAGUUAACACAAUAAGUACUCCGCCUGGGAAGUACGAUCGCAAGAUUAAAA